GGCAAGCCGCAUUUCACGCGGCCAAUAUGGCGUUCCCCAUUUAGGUAGCGUCUACCCUAGAUGGCCGUGGGCAGUGCUGAGUUGGGAGUGUUUUCUCUCUCUAACCCGGGCUGCAGAAAGCUGCAUUUAAAGUUCUGCACCUGGUCACUGCUUCAGAAACCCACUUUUCUCUGAGAGUCAAGAAUCGCCGCUUCCUUUUAGUUCCUGCAGGUUACUCAUCUGCCCCUGACUUGUUCACUGCUCCACCUCCGGACACUCUCAAGUCCCUGACACCCCCAGACUCAAAACUAUGAGUCUUCGGCAGCUGCUCAAGCGAUUGCCCUACUUCGGGGCCUCGGGUCCCCCGCGUCGCCCCCUCGACACCAUUUCCUCGGUGGUCUCCUGGCGUGGUCAGUCCUCCAGGUCUCCAGCCCACUGGAACCAAGUGGUGUCAGAGGCUGAGAAGAUCGUGGGCUAUCCCACGUCCUUCAUGAGCCUCCGCUGCCUGCUGAGCGACGAGCUCAGCAACAUCGCUAUGCAGGUGCGGAAGCUGGUGGGAACUCAGCACCCUCUGCUUACCACAGCCAGGGGCCUUGUACAUGACAGCCAGCAUAACCUCCAGUUGAGGGGCUUGGUGGUGCUACUUAUUUCUAAGGCAGCUGGGCCCAGCAGCGUGAAUGCUUCUUGUCAGAACUAUGACAUGGUCAGUGGGAUCUAUUCAUGUCAAAGAAGUUUGGCAGAGAUCACAGAACUUAUCCAUACUGCUCUCCUUGUACAUCGUGGGAUAGUAAAUUUAAAUGAAUUGCAAUCUUCUGAUGGGCCACUGAAAGACAUGCAAUUUGGAAAUAAAAUAGCUAUCCUGAGUGGAGACUUUCUUCUAGCAAAUGCCUGCAAUGGACUAGCUCUGCUACAGAACACCAAGGUUGUGGAACUUUUAGCAAGUGCCCUUAUGGAUUUGGUACAAGGAGUAUACCAUGAAAAUUCUACUUCAGCAAAGGAAAAUCGCAUCACAGAUGAUAUUGGAAUAUCAACUUGGAAGGAACAGACUUUUCUCUCCCAUGGUGCCUUAUUAGCAAAGAGCUGCCAAGCUGCAAUGGAAUUAGCAAAGCAUGAUGCUGAGGUUCAGGAUAUGGCAUUUCAGUAUGGGAAGCACAUGGCCAUGAGUCAUAAGAUAAAUUCUGAUCUCCAGCCUUUUAUUAAAGAAAAGACCAGUGACUCCUUGACUUUUAAUCUAAACUCAGCUCCUGUAGUCUUACAUCAGGAGUUUCUUGGAAGAGAUUUGUGGAUUAAGCAGAUCAGAAAGGCUCAAGAGAAAGGAAAAUUAGACUAUGCUAAGAUGCUGAUUCCGUCUUCAUGGAAAAUUACAUCAGCUUUCUCUCAGUGCAAUCUGUUCACUUCUAAGACCUAGUGUCCAUCACCGCAUGUCCUAUGAGCAAAACAAGUUGUGAUUCCCCUGACUUGGCAACCAUGAAUAGAGAAAGAAGUAAGAAACCAAGCUGGGUCACUGAAAAGGAGUCAAAGAAAGGCACCGGAGAGAUGGGCAGGACUAGCAUUUGGGGAUCAGGGUCUUCUUGCUUUGAGGCUGCCUGAGGUCAGUUGUGUCUUUGAUGAAAUUGUCAAACAUCAAGUCGAGUGUCGGAUUUUGGAAGAUUUGUGGCACAGAUCAGUGAAGGCCUUCAUCUGCCCACCACUUACUGCUCUGAUCUUACCUGUUCCUUCUGGCCACUCUCUAGCUUCAAGACUCUCUGUGUUUUACUCGGAAAGGCCAUGUAAAGGUUUCCAAAUCUGACCUGCAGUUCCCUGCCUCAGCUGCCGCCUGCAGUUUUCCCCACUUAGAAUGCCCUUCACUAGCCUUUGCAGGUCACAAUCCCACUCAGCCAUCCUGUAGGCUCCUAGGACAGCCCCUUCUCCACAGAAGCUUCCUGAUCUGUCCCUGCUCCUCACUCAGCCCCACCCUAGGCCUCUCCUCUAAUCCUGCCCAUCUGCUUUAUAUCACAGUUUUCAGGGUUCAAGAUUGAUUCCUGGGGUAGAAUGACAUCUCUGUAAGGACAGGGACCUUGCUUCUCCGUUUCUUAAUUCCCUAAAGAACUCAAAGCUUUGCAGUCAUAGGUGUUCAAUAAAUAUUUGUUUAAUUUUGAAAGCUUUUGUCACAUUAAACCAGUCAGGCCAUCUUCUAAAGAGGUCUCACCUCCUCUGCCAACAGCAUGGGUGCUCAGCCCUAUAUUUAGGCACUAAAUGCUCUCCUCCACCUCUCUCUAUAGCUGAUAGGAGCCAAAUUCUGUCACUGCAAAAAUUCUCUGGGAAUGUAGGCAUUGGGAAAACACAUCCACUUACUCCAGCCUAGACCAGAGAUCCCUUUGGCACUGAAAUGAUUUGCUUUCUUUCCUAAUGUCAAGGCUGAAUAAAUGCAGUUUCCACAAGUACAAAGUUUACUUUACUGAAGGCUAGGAUUGCAUCAAGCAUCUCCCAAAGCAUUUGCAUGGCUGCAGAAUCUGUACCUUUUGUGUGUCUUAAUUUUUUAAUAUUUAAAGGUUAUUAAAUCAUUGUGUAUCAACUUGGGUGUAGUGUGUUUUAUUAUAGACACUUUAGUAUCUCUAGAAGGAAAAUUUAGGAAAUACCAAAUGUUUGAGUCUUAGAGAACCACACGAGUACCAUGUUUGUCCCAAAACUUACAAGUUUCUCCUUGCCACCAUAGAUAUGC